UGGGCUGUAGCUCAGCUGGUAGAGUGCUUGCCUGGCAUGCACAAGGCCUGGGUUCAAACCCCAACACCACAA
rnacentral:tRNA from 1 species